GUCUACAGCUAUACUAUCCUGAAUGUGCCCGAUCUUGUCUAAUCUCAGAAGCUAAGCAGGGGUGGGCCUGGUUAGUACUCAGAUGAGAGAUGUUUUCUGAAAAUGAUGGUCUUCUGGGCA
rnacentral:rRNA from 1 species